GGCCGGGUGGUGUAACUGGUAACACUCGCGUCCUUCAAGCGCGCACUACGCGGUUCGAGUCCCGUCCCGUCCA